UAGCUCAGUCAGUUGAGCAGAGCACUAACAAUGCUAAGGUCGCGGGUUCGAUUCCUGU
rnacentral:tRNA from 1 species